UCAUCAUUGCCGUCAUCAUUAUCUUCCCCAUCGGCGUCCUUCAGCUUAGGCUGGUUUUGGGAAUGGUCACCCUUGAUUCCAGGUUUGUUAGCCACCAGCAAUGUAAAGGAGUUCUGAAACCAAUCCCCAAAACAUGCAUUCACAGCAAGGUUUAAAGCAGAAGCUAUAUUAGCAAUUAUAACCAAGAUUUUCUGAACCAACAAGAAGACAAAGAGUACAUAAAAUCAUAACUAAUUGGGUCUUAUCGGAAGAUUAACGAAAGCCUUUGCUUUGAUUUGUAAGAAUCAUACCUUUUACUGGCAAACUGUUUAUUGAUUAAAAAUUAUUUUUUUUAAGGCAAAAAAUUAUUUAAAUUAAAUAUUCUGUAGCACAAACCAAGUCUUGGGAUCAUAUUCAUAUAUCUGUACAAAACAGAAUAUAUAUAUUAAUUAGCUUCAUUAAAACUUUUAGCUUUGCACUUUGGGCACUCCUAAUACUACCCCUCCAAUAUAUGAUGUCUUGUUAUCUAUUCAAAUGGAACUAGAAUUUUUGUAAUUUAGACAUAAGUGAUUUACACACACACAUAUAUAUAUAUGUUUAAUAUAUUUAAAAUUAUAAAAUGUUUAAUAUAUUUAAAACAAUAAAACAAGUGGUCCAACAGACUAAGCUGAAGCUCCAACCUAACCAGAAUAAGCAAUAAAUUUACUAUUCAGAUAUGACCUGUGAAUAACCCAUGGUUUGGAAAUUUUUAAAAUCUCUUCUCCAAACUAAAAUCAUGCUAGGCUUGAAACUAGGAACUGUAUUUAUAAAAUAUUAAAAAUUAUUUAUAUAUUUUAUACUUUUUAUAGGUCACAUGGAAUUGAUGAAGUUCAAAUUUUGAAAUUUGUUAAAUUUCUAAUGACUACCCAACUAAUUAAACAAUCCAUGUUGACUUACUAUUUUAUAUAUAAAUAUAUAAUAAUUAUAAUAAUUCAAUCAGCCCAAAUUACAAUUUAGAAAUAAAUAUUAAAUUUACACAUGAAUUUUGAUUUUGUGCAAUUUUAUACAUGAAAUUUCAUUAGCAACAAACACAAUUAUUUUUAUAACACCAUUUUAAAUUUACAUAUUGUAUAUACAUAUAAUUAUAUUUAUCAAAUAUAAAAAUAAAUAGGCAUUAUUAUUUCUUUAAAUGUGUGCUAUUGAAUUAAAAUUAAAAUUUCAUAUAUAUAUUUAAACUAUAAUUAUAAUUUAUGUAUAAAUUAAAUAUUCAAUGUAUAAUUUUAGGAUUUAUCGUACAAUUUAUUUUAUUCGAACUUAGGCCGGCAAGCCGAAUCUACCAAACUAAAUGGGUGAUCCGGCCUUUUAAGCGGUCUAAUCUAGCAUUAAGAAAUUUUGAAGGAAAGGUGAAAGGCAUCAAUCCCUGAACAGCAAAAAGAUUGGGCCCAUUGGACUACAACUAAUUGUGAGCCGGGUGGAAUCAGGUUAGAUGAAAUGUCUUUAUUUAUUAUUCUCUUUUUCCCAACUUUAUUCGGCUUUACAUUUGGAUUUACUAUUUAUCCAAGUUGAAACCAUAUAAAAUUAAAAGAAUUCAAGUCUCACUCAGCCACUCAGAUUUAAUUUAUUCAAUGAUUUUUUAUAAUUUUAGUAUUAAUAAUAAAUGAAAUUUUCUGUCUGUUCCCUGUUAGUGAAAAGUUCACAAGUAUCUCCCUUAUAAUAUAUUUAUUAACAACAACAAAAAUAACGAUGUAUCGUUGUACUAAACCUACUUAGAUUUUUUUUUACUAAUAAUGGAUAGAAUCAUAUUUUUUAAUAAAUAAUAUUAACACAUUAAAUUUAACAUAAUUUGAUCAAAUCUAAUUUAAAACUUAACAUAUAUAAUUAUUAUUUUUAAAAAUAAUAUAACAAAUAAAUAUAAAGACUGGAUAAAAUAAUCUCUGCCUAAAUUCGGAUCGAAUAGAAGAAGAAUUUAAUAUCUUGCCAAGCCUAUUUUAUGGACGAGUAGACCGAUUUGGGACAACCAACCAUUGAUUUUACAAGGCUUAAAAGCAGUUAAGAUAUUUUCUUAAAUUAUUUUUAUUUUAAAUACAAGUAAAUAUUUUUGACAUGAUAGUAUAAAAAAAUUGACAUAAAAAGUACGAUUACUUUAUAAAAUUCAAAAAUAGAAGACAAAAGCAUGACGUGGCACCUAGGAUUUGACAAGAAUAUUACGCAAGGAAUAUCCGAUUCAUAACAGAGACUUUGACAAUUCGAAAAAAUGACAAAAAAGAAAAAGAAAAAAAGACUUAGGACAGAUGUUUUAUUAUUUUUCCCAAAAAAAAUCCCAUUUAUUUUUAUUAAAAAUUUUUGAAGUUCGAUUUUUUUUACAUUUUUAUUUAUAAAAUUUUAAAAAAAACUUUAAAAAAAUUUUAAAUUUAUUUUUAAAUUUUAUAAGCAAAAUUAUUGAAUAUCUCAAUUUUUUUUAAAUCUUAAAAGGUAUGUGUCACCUACUUAUGAAUAUAAAAAAUGUAUCGUGUAUAAUUACAAAAAAAAAUAGUGUAUCUAUAUUAAUAAUGUAUACAAUAUAUCAUUUAAUUUUCUAUGUUAAAUUAUAUUUUAUGAAAUUUAAUUAAAUAAACUAUUUAACAAAUUAUAAAUCAAAGUAUAAAAUAUUUUAAAAGUCAACUGAAAUAAUUAAAUUGAAGUUUCAUAUGCGACAAAAUUCAAACUACCCCGAACAACUACAGUAAAUAUUUUCUCCAUCUCCCCAACUAAAAAGCGCAAGUUAGCAAAAUAAAAUACUAAAAAUUGUUAAUAUAUUUUAUUUUUUUGGUGAAAUUUUUAAUAUAGUUUUAAGAUGUUAGUAAACACAUUUUAUCUUCUAAUUUGAAAGUAAAAAAGAAUUAUAAAUAAUUCUAUAUUUUAUAUUAAAAAUAAACUAUGAUUUUAUAAUAUAAUUAUCAUUUUUAUCGGGAAUAAAAUCACCAAGACGAAUAAUCUCGUAUUAAAACGCAACUCCAAAAUCUUUACGUCACAAAAUCUCGGUCCCCAACAACACAGCCACGCAUUUAGCAGGAAUCUAAUGCAAAAAAUUUCUGAAAUACUUUUAAGAAAAAAUCAAAGGGAGGAUUUAACUUUUGAAAUUUAUCUUUUAAUCUCCUUUUGAUAUCUAAAUACACUAAACUAUUAAUUUUGUUCCGAUUUAUUUUGAAAUUUAUUUUUUAUUGGAAGUCGAUAAGUUUUUUUUUUUACAUAAAUAAAACGAAAAAAAUAAUAUAAGUAUCCAAAUGAAAGAAAAAAAAUAGAGUGAGAAAAAAAAUAUGAGGGAAAAAAUUAGUAAAAAAAAACUGCUUAAUAGAAAAAAGGUUCCUAAAUAAGGAAUCCUACAAGGGCGCAUUUUAGCAAUGAUCUAAAGCGAAAACCGCGAAACUCGUAGCAAAAAAUAGCAUAAAUUGAAGGAUAUGGUAAGCAAAAAUUAUAAAAUAAAACACAUUAAAAAAAAUAAAGGAUAGCUUACCAGAGCUACAAGGUGGGUAUUGACAAGAGCCGACAAGAACAUGGAAGCUAGAGUUUCACCGGCGCAUGUUAGCGCGACGUAACUAACCGUAACCGCCAUCGAACUGUGGGCAACUUCAGUAUUUCACUACGGCCAACGAUAAACCUAAA
rnacentral:lncRNA from 1 species